rnacentral:rRNA from 1 species
AACGAACGCUGGCGGCAUGCCUAAUACAUGCAAGUCGAACGAGAUCUUCGGAUCUAGUGGCGCACGGGUGCGUAACGCGUGGGAAUCUGCCCUUGGGUUCGGAAUAACUUCUGGAAACGGAAGCUAAUACCGGAUGAUGACGUAAGUCCAAAGAUUUAUCGCCCAAGGAUGAGCCCGCGUAGGAUUAGCUAGUUGGUGGGGUAAAGGCCCACCAAGGCGACGAUCCUUAGCUGGUCUGAGAGGAUGAUCAGCCACACUGGGACUGAGACACGGGCCAGACUCCUACGGGAGGCAGCAGUAGGGAAUAUUGGACAAUGGGCGAAAGCCUGAUCCAGCAAUGCCGCGUGAGUGAUGAAGGCCUUAGGGUUGUAAAGCUCUUUUACCCGGGAUGAUAAUGACAGUACCGGGAGAAUAAGCUCCGGCUAACUCCGUGCCAGCCGCCGCAGUAAGAC